UACAGAGGUCCCGAGCGUUGUUCGGAUUUACUGGGCGUAAAGGGUGCGUAGGUGGCGAUCUAAGUCGGGUGUGAAAUCUCCGGGCUUAACCCGGAGGGUGCGCCCGAAACUGGACUGCUGGAGGGUGGGAGGGGAGACUGGAAUUCUCGGUGUAGCAGUGAAAUGCGUAGAUAUCGAGAGGAACACCGGUGGCGAAGGCGAGUCUCUGGACCACUCCUGACACUGAGGCACGAAAGCCGGGGGAGCAAACAGG
rnacentral:rRNA from 1 species